rnacentral:rRNA from 1 species
AUUGAACGCUGGCGGAAUGCUUUACACAUGCAAGUCGAGCGGCAGCGCGGGGCAACCUGGCGGCGAGCGGCGAACGGGUGAGUAAUACAUCGGAACGUACCCAGUUGUGGGGGAUAGCCCGGCGAAAGCCGGAUUAAUACCGCAUACGACCUGAGGGUGAAAGCGGGGGAUCGCAAGACCUCGCGCAAUUGGAGCGGCCGAUGGCGGAUUAGCUAGUUGGUAGGGUAAAGGCCUACCAAGGCGACGAUCCGUAGCGGGUCUGAGAGGACGGCCCGCCACCCUGGAACUGAGACACGGGCCAGACGCCUACGGGAGGCAGCAGUGGGGAAUUUUGGACAAUGGGGGAAACCCUGAUCCAGCCAUUCCGCGUGAGUGAAGAAGGCCUUCGGGUUGUAAAGCUCUUUCGGCAGGAACGAAACGGUGGGUCCUAAUACGAUCUGCUAAUGACGGUACCUGAAGAAGAAGCACCGGCUAACUACGUGCCAGCAGCCGCCGCCG